UUGUCUGUCAAUAACUCAAUAUAGAGAUGAUGAUCAAGCAUAGGAAUAAACCCACUAAGUCCUGCUUUACACCAAAGUACAACACAUUUGUUAGCCAGAGGUCUAACUUGGGAUUUGGUGAAACUAAUGAGCUACACUAUUGUUAAAUAUUAGUAUAACCCUUCUACCAAACAUGGCUGUUUCUACAAACUAUUGAAUUGCUUCACUUGCUUGCAUAGGUGGCUGAUCUACUUAUGUGCAUCACCUAGGAAUAAUGAAUGAAACAAUAUGUAUGUUCUAUUAUUCACCAUCCUAGCAUCAUAAUAUGAAUAAAACGUGAACCGGUGCUGCCUUGGAAGCCAAUGCAUUCCUUGCUUAUCCACCAAGCAAUCAUCUAUACUACUAUGAAGGGAAUUAGUAGUUAAAUAAUGUAAUUU
rnacentral:lncRNA from 1 species